AGCGAUGUGACGCCCCCGAACCGCCCCUCACCUGUACCGCCCUAAUCCAUGGGAAACACCAGACUGGAUUUGGGAGCUUUUUAGGCUGAAUCCCAGGCAAUUUAGGCUCCAUCCCAGGGUGUUUAGGCUCCAUCCCAGGGGAUUCAGGCUCCAUCUCGCCAUUUCCAGGUGGAUUAAUUCCGCCGUUCCCGGCUGGAUUUAUGAGGAGCGGGCGGAACUGCCCUCAACCAAGACAGGUGUGUGCUGAGGAAGGCAGGAGACCCCUGAAAUGGAAAAUGUGAACUGUCUCCCUCUGCAUUGUUGUAAAUUUGAAAUGAAAAGGCUCUCAGGCAAAGAUAUGGGAACAGGACUAACAGUUCUUUGCUGGGGACUGGUUCCAUGACAAAGGUCACGUCGGCGUGCUCUGGAUCGCUGAGAACUGGAAAAGGACCAGACCCAGCUAAUCUGAGGCCCCGCACUGUGAAGACGCCGUGGCCUUGAGCAUGGCUGUGUUAUGAUACCAAGGUGCUGUAGCCGAGAGCAGAGCCUGAGAAAAGAGAGAUAAGAUGUGUCCUGGAGGGAGGAUUGGCUGUGGAAGAGAGAAAGAAAACUGCCCCAUGAACAGCAGAUAACUGCCCCGUCAGGUCCCACCCACACCUGGGCACCUGGAUCCCUCACACCUGGAUCCCUCACACAUGAGUUCCAGCCUGCCCAGAUGUUCAGGUUCCUGCACACCUGGAUCACCAGUUCCCAGCACACCUGGGCACCUGCACCCUGCCCAGAGACACUAGGAUCCCUCCCAGGACACCUGGAUCCCCCAAAGACACCUGGACCCAGAGAGGAACACCUGGAACUGCCCCCAGGACACCUGAAACCGUCCCAGGAACACCUGGAGGCCUCCUGAGCACACCUGGAUCCCCCUAAAGAGUACCUGGGACACCCCAAAAACACCUGGAAAUGCCUCUGGGACACAUGAAUCUGUCUCAAGGACACCUGGACCCACCCAAACUCACCUGGACCCACUCAGGAACACCUCGAUGCCCCCAAAAAACCACCUGGGACCCCCCAAAUCCACCUGAGACCCCCAAAAUCCCACCUGGACCCUCCCCAUGAUGUCACAGGUGUGGCCAUGCCCCCCAUCUCCCCCGGGUUUCUAUUUUUGGGUCGAUUUGUGGUGAUUUUUGGUUUCCAUCGAUAAAAAUCCAACCGGG